rnacentral:rRNA from 1 species
GACAGAGGCCUCAAGCGUUAGGCGGAAUCACUGGGCUUAAAGCGCACGUAGGCGGAUUGUUAAGUCAGGGGUGAAAUCCUGGAGCUCAACUCCAGAACUGCCUUUGAUACUGGCGAUCUUGAGUCCGGGAGAGGUGAGUGGAACUGCGAGUGUAGAGGUGAAAUUCGUAGAUAUUCGCAAGAACACCAGUGGCGAAGGCGGCUCACUGGCCCGGUACUGACGCUGAGGUGCGAAAGCGUGGGGAGCAAACAGG